ACCAGAGGUGGAUGAAGUAUUCAAAUAAUCAUAACUUACCAAAAAGUAGCAAUACCACACAGUAAAAAUACUUACUUAAUACUUCUAAACUUUUACUUAAGUGAAAGUACAGAAGUAUUAGCAACAAGAUGUACUUAAAGUAUCAAAAGUACUCACUAUGUAGAAUGGCCCCUGUCAGUGUGAUAUUAUAUUAUUGGGUAAGAAGUACUUUUAUGUUGUAGUUGGUUGAGGUAGAUCUUAUUUUAACUUCUUACAGAAUAUAUAGUGUUAGGUAGUUUAAUCUAUAAUUAUGGCUCAUAUUUUAUAAACCGAUCACGUUUCUUUAUGUAAAAUCUUAAUCUGUAAAUCUAUUAAAUAAAUGUAGUGCAGCAGAAAGUACAACAGUAAAACACAAGUACAUCAAAAUUGCACUUAAUACAGUACUUGACUACGUUACGUUCCACCACUGCAGGAGACUUUGAUGAAUUGAAGUAAUAUAACAUGAGCUGUAGCAUCUGAAUAUAUUUGUAUUAUAUGAAUGCUAUCAUUGUUAUUACUAGUAGGAGGAGGAAAAGUAAUAGUAGUACUUUGAAAAGUAGGAAAAAAAACCCCAUAUUUCUUGUGAUGUUUGGUGUUUGUUAGUAAAUGUCAAAUCAAAUAAUAUACAGCACAUAUAUUAAUAGGAGGAUACAUAAGGUAUAGGGCUGCAACUAAUGAUUAUUUUCAUUACUGAUUCAGUUUCCAAUUAUACAAAACAGAGAAAAGCAGCAAAUCCUCACAUUUGAGUAUCUGAAAUGAGUGAAUUUUUGGUAUUUUUUUCUUGAUAAAUGACUUAAAUGAUUCAUAAUAUAUGAAAAUUGUUAAGAACUAAUCGAUUAAUUGUUUCAGCACUGAUAAUGAAAAUAAAAAAAAAAUCAACAUGAAAAAGACACUUUGCUGUUUAUAUAAUCCCUUUUUGUCUGUUUAUACUCCACAUAAAGCUGGUUUUCUGUUUCUGGACAGGAUGGCUCCCUCUGCUGGUGAGGACAAGAACCUGCCGUCAUGGAAAAAGAAAUCUCGCCUGAUGCAGCAACAUGCCAGUCGCCGUGGCAACGUCUCUGUUUCCCCUCCUCUCCAGGGUGUGUUUAUGACAGGUCUUGAGUUUUUUUUCUUACGUGCUGGUAUGAAGGAGGCUCACAGCACGCCAUACUGCCCCCCAACCCCCUCCACUUCUUAUGUGAGAAUAGCUGCCAAAUUGUGUUCAGAUGGAGCAAUACAUGAGAGGGCACUGCCAAGAGUCAUUUGCAGUAAAUGCUCCCCAAAUGCCCUCUAGAUUUCUCACCAAAUAUCAGAUCCACCAUGAUAGCACCCUUAAUCAACCUCAACAUUGGAAAGUGAAAGGGAAGGGAAGGGAAGGGAAGGGGGGGGUUACUGCCAGCUUUAAGUAUGCUUUUAGUCGCUUAAGUUACGAUUGAACCCUCUUUCCCGAAGAAAAACUAUCCUUGCAUGCGAUGGAGCACUAAAUAGAGGAGCCCUUGGGACUGAACACUUAAUACAGUAAAUGGAACCAAGAGACAAGCAGAGAGAAGUUCCUCCGUCUCCUGGAAGCUAUUCAAAACAUCUCAGCAAUGGCUGCAUUACUGCAGACACAGGAGCAGAAGUGGGGGGAAACAGCCCGCUGUUACAGUCCAAUUAAUGUGUGUAGAUAGUGCAGACGUGAUUUAUAGUUUAUUUUCGACUCUGCUGUGCUGACAAACGAGCUUCCAUCUGCCUCUGGCACGCAACAGAUAAUGCAUGCAGCUCAAGCACAUCAUGAAAGGCUUCUCAGGUCUGAAGGGCCUUUCGCUGCCUGCUCAGGGCUCUGUGGCCGGCUCUUUUCUCCUCCGCUCACGCCUAAAUAAAGACGUCCUUCAAAGCAGCAGACCCCUUUCAGUGGUUUCAUGUCACAUGUAAAAUACCACUUUUGAACGUACCAGUUGAUGUAGUUAUGAAAACUUCAAGGACCAUUUAGAAAUUCUUGAGAUAUUCUGGGCCUUUUCUCUUCAGACGGUUGAAGUGGGUGUCAGAUUGCAGCUGCAGCUUCUGGGUCAUGAAGACGAACUCUGCAUUUUGGAAGUUUGCAGAUAACAGAUUUACCUCUCUGACAGGUGUUUACAGUUUAGAGUACAGAAGUAAGGCUGCAAAUAUCGCUUAUUUUUUAAAUCUGUUAAUCUAUGAGUUCUUUUUUGGAAAAAUGGAUUAAUCAUUUAGUCUAUGAAAUGCCAGAAAAAUGACCAUCACAGCUUUCAAGGAGACAUCUUUGAAUGUCUUGUUUUGUCUGACCAACGGUCCAAAACACAAAAGGUAAUCAAUUUUUGAUGAUAUCAAAUGAAGAGAAGCAGAAAAUCCUCAUGUGAGAAGCUGCGACUAGCAAAUGUUUGGCCUUUUUGCUUGAUAAAUGAUUUAAACAGUUAUCAAAAUUGUUGGUAAUUCGCUUUGUCCAUUGACUAAUCGAUUAAUCAACUAAUCAUUUCAACACUACAGAGAAGCCUUUGCUUUUUUAUUAUCAGCAAAUAUCAUGAAAAAAACAAUGUGUUUGUCUGUCUCUCAUUGUGUCUUCCCUGCGCUGUCUGUGACACUCAGCCCAGUCGCUGAAUUCAUUCUUAAAAAAGACUCAGUGAUUUCCUAAAGCAGCUGGGCACUGUAGUUUUUAAUCAAACGUUACUCCAACAGGAGGAAAUAGUGGAUUUGUUGGGGACUAUUUUCAGCAGUGGAUUAAUACACAUUUUGUGCACCGUGAAUAUUUACAGCAGCAGGACAGUGUUUUUAGGAUCGACUCAAAAUAAAUGUGUGUUCAUGGUGAUGGUGUGGCUCACCGAUGUGUUUUAAAUAGGUUUUGGGCAACAAUGGAGGCCUACGACACAGAGGAAUCAGUUACAGGCUUUGGCUACACAGCCGAUACUUGUUAGUUGGAUCACUUCAUUGUUGGUUUUGUUCUUUUCAUGGGAUUUGUUGAUAAUAAGACAAAUAUAGAAUAUCACCAGCCUUAAUCUUUAAACCUAUUUUUUCCAAUCAGUUUCUUACUAUGAGAAAUUGGGUCCUACGGUACAUGAACACACAGUUUUCUUCAAGAGUUACACAGUUUUGUUUUUUCUCAAAAAGAGAUUUCUUUGUUUUUGUCUGUUCUCUUGUUACUGGUUUGAAGUGUACAGGGGGUCGUUUGGAAAACGGCGAUGUCACAUACUUCUGUGCACCAGUCAGAGUUUAGCGACAUUUGAAUCAAAAUCUGGUGACAGUAGUUGUGUCAGUCAAAUCUGUCAAACCACACCCACGCAGUUAGGGCUGCAACUAAUGAUUGCUUUCAUUAUCAGUUAAUCUGCUGAUUAUUUUCUCAAUUGUUUUUUAAAAUAUAUAUAACGUCAGAAAAUAGUGAACAUUUUAAAAAACGUCUUCAUAUUGUGUUUUUUCUGAUAAAUGAGAGCUAAAGAUGUUUUUUUCUGAACUUUAACUUUGAUUGUUGCUUUAUAUCAAAAAUAUUGAAUGUUGUAGAUGAAAACUUAAGACUUUGAGGGGUUUUAGAUGACCAAGUUUGAAAAUGUAGCAUCUAUCAACUUUGUUAUAACCAAUAUUAACCCCAUGUUUUCCUUUUUUCUUUUUUAAAUGUUGCAUUUUGAAAGCAAACUACUACCAGCCAUAGGUUAUAAUAAUUUAAAAAAGUAAAUGGGAGUAAGCUCACAUUACAAACAUUGCAGCAGAAGUAUAAAAUGCAUUGUAAAGCUAAGAAUCAAUGUUAAAAAGAUUCUUCUUUAAAAUUCUGUAUUACACAAAACCAAUGAUGCUUUUUUAACUUCACAUAUUGCUGACGUACGGCAACCACUCAAUUUGACGGCAGCGAUAAUGUCGGCGAGUAAACACAUAUUUUAGAAAUAUUCCUGCACUCUGAUGUGUAUUUGUUGCAGCCUCACAUGCCAGAAGUCGAUCCAAAUCUCAACUCAACUGCAGAACUAUUUCAAUACUGCAAAAGAAUGAAAAAAAAAACCCCAAAACUUUAAGACUCUAAACCACCCCUCCCUGCUGCCUGUCGCUGGCUAUUUCUACGACUCUCAUAUGAAACACUUCUGACGUUAAACACCUGUUAACUUUUAUGUCUUGUGAGAGGAGUGGCUGAAUGAAGGAGCAUUAUGUUCAGUGCUAGUCGGCCCGGCCAAAUCCCCAGUAGAGGAAAGACCACUCCCAGUGCAGAGAGGCAGCAGCAGUGAGUGAGUGAGCCCCCUUAUCCCUGCAGCCUGCGAGGAUCCCCUCCGCUCAAUUCAACAGUUACCUCUAUUCCAGUUGACAGCUGUGUGAAACCACCAUCUUUCCACAAGCUCUCUGCUGGAUAAACUGCACCGCUACCCACCAGCAGACCUGCUUAAGAGGCAAAGUAAGGAGACGUGAGGAGGUUAGAGGCAGCUUAUGUUGUUGGUGUCUCAUAUCAUAGUCAAUUUUUUUUCCACAUUUAGAUGCCAGUGCUGAAGGGAGUCCAAAUAACCAGCACCACCCAUUAUGAAGAGUCCCAAACUGUAUUUUAAGGCUGUAAAUGCAAGAUUACGUAAUUCGUGCUUAUUACAACAAAUAAACUACAACAUUGAGUCAAAACACGUUUUGGCCAUCUUGCCUUCAUCAGGAUCAGUGUCAGAAUUGUUUCCAGUUUCUUUAUGUACAGUCCAUCAGUGGUGAAAAGUACAUUUACUCAAGUACUGUACUUAAGUACAAUCUUGAGUACUUUACUUGAGUAUUUCCAUUUUGUGCUACUUUAUACUUCUACUCCACUACAUUUUGAAGACAAACAUUGUACUUUUUAAGUUACCUUGCAGAUUGUAAUUAUGAAUACAAAAUAUAAUUAACUAAUAAAUGAUGAUGUAAUAUUAUAGAUUAAGUAACCAGCAGUAUAUAUAGUAGUUACAAUUAGCUCCUCCGUUACCAGCUGCAACAAGUAAUGCUUACACAUGAACGCAUCCAUAGCUAUAAUCCAAAUGGAUGUGAGUGAAAUGGGCCAUUCUGCACUUUCACUUUUGGUACUUUAAGUAUAUUUUGAUGCUAAUACUUAAGUGAAAGUACAUAAGUAACAUUUUUAAUGCAGGACUUUUACAUAUACAUAUUUCUACACUGUGGUAUUGCUACUUGUACUUAAGUAAAAUAUCUGAGUACGUCUUCUACCAGUCCAUUAAUCAGUCUUGUGACUUAGAGAUCUCCAUCAACAUUACCAUCAUGUUUUCAAAACAGUUAACAAAAUACAACAUACACUCAAGUAGUAGAUACAAAAAAAGCCAAAUAGUGUUUCAUCAUGACCUCUUGACCACAAAUCAGCAGGUAAAAAGGCUGAAUCUCCAUUUUUCAAUACAAAUGCUGUACUCUUUAAGCCCUUGUUUUUUUAUACUUAUUUUGCAAAACACAGUAUGCUCUUCCAUCUCUUAAUGUUAAUGGAUAAUCCUAAUUUUUCAGUCAAAUCAGUCUGCAGAAGACUGCUUUGUAUUGAAAAAUGGCGAUUCUGCCUUUUUAUCCGCUGAUGGAUUAAGAUGAAACACUAACAUUGUAAAGAAAAGUUGGUUGUAAUAUGAAGUGCUGAAACAGACGAUUAUAUCCAUUAUCACUUAAUCUAUGGAGUUUUUUCUCGAUUUAUCAAUUUGUCUAUGAAAUGCAAAUAAAAACAAGGUAAAAAAAUGUGAAAAAAUGCCCAUCACAAUUGUUCAGGGACCAUGGCAACAUCAAAGUCUUUCAAUUAUCAUAAAGAAAAACAAAGAAAAAUCCUCAAACAACUGGAAACACAUUUUUGUCAUUCCUGCUUAAAAAAUGACAAAUAAUCGAUUCUCAAAAUAGUUGCAGAUACAUUUUCUGUACAUCCACUAAUGCCUAAUCGUUUCAGCUCUAGUAGUACUGGCACGUUUGGUAUUUAUAGUCAUUUAUAUUUCUCUAUUGCAUUUUGUAAAAAACUUUAUAAAAACAUGACUAAUAUUUUUUGUGCAGUUGAUCAAUAAGUAACAUGACUGAUCAAUGGACACAAGGAAACUAGAAACAACCUCUGACACCACCCUGAAACGUUUGGUGAAUAAAGCAUGGCGUGCUGGAGUUGUAUGAUGUGUUUGGACUUGCAUUUAAGCUCACACUGGCCUUCACCUCGCUGCGUGUGCGUUCUCAAAGUCAGAAAUCUGUCUGUUACAUCAUUGAUUACGUCAGACGAGUAAAAAUGAGGGAACAGAGUGACAUUUGAACUUGUUUAUGACUGAGAGCUGACACUCCUUUUCUUCGCGUUUGGAAAAAUACUUUCAGGUACAGUAGAUUCAAAGCACCUAAAGGCAGGUCCGCAUCUGGAUUUGUGCAGCAGCAGUUAAACCAAUAGAUUUAGAUGAUUAUCUUGUGUUGCUGCUUUCUGUUCCUUUCUAAGAGUCUCAUUCUUGAUGUGAGGUCCCUGCUGAGCUGAAAGCAGUUCAGCAGCUAAGCAGUCCUCCAUCUCAUACAUAAAACACGCUGCCUAUAAAAUCAGUCUAAUGUGCCUCAAACUGCUGAUAGUCAGCAGUAGAAACCUGCUUGGCAAAUUCAAAAAUCAUUUUGGACUACAAUGCAAACGACUAUAAUAAAAUGACGUCUCAAGUCGCUCCAAUGGCAUCAGUGAGUGAAAGGAGCGCUGUUUGUCUGCCAGACCUGGUGGCUAAAUGAAAGCCGAUCCAAACCUUUAAAUGAGAGCCGUUGGGCUAAUAUUUUAAGGCUUGGAUUGCAGCACCAGGAAAUACCUGGGAGAGGUACACCUUUAAGGAAUCAAAUUUAGCAAUGCACAGGAAUGGUUGGAAAACUUUAACCAGAGGACUCGGGCUUUCCGUAACCUCCCUCCGUGCUUUUUGGAUCCUGCAAGUUCAGGUGCAGCGAUUAAAGCCUCCUAACGUGUUAAUGAUGGAAUAUUUCAUUCUGAGUUUGUCAGUUUUAUCCCCCAUUAGCAGGCAGGAAUGUCCUCUCCUCUUCUCCGCUCCGUGGUGAUUGGUUAAGGUCUUUGGCUAUUUACACAUUACAGACAGCACAUCCAUUUAGGGAAACACAGAGGAGAUAACGUUUGAGACAUAAUAGGGGUCAAUUAAUAAAAAUCUGUAUAUUCUGCUCUGUGCACUAUUUGAUCUUUUCAUAAACAAAAAUUUCAGAUUCUCAAAUGCGCAAAGUUUCGAAAAAACAGAAGCAACACAGUUCAGGUUUUCUUCAGAAGUGAAAAUCUAUGAAAACUAUCAUUUAAGUAUGUUCUGGACAUAAAAAGUUGUUGUUGUUUUUUUACCACCAGAGUCUAAAAUAAAAAAAGACCUAACUUAAAAAUAA